rnacentral:rRNA from 1 species
CCUACGGGAUGCAGCAGUGGGGAAUAUUGCACAAUGGGCGCAAGCCUGAUGCAGCCAUGCCGCGUGUAUGAAGAAGGCCUUCGGGUUGUAAAGCACUUUUAGCGGGGAGGAAGGCGGUGAGGUUAAUAACCUCACCGAUUGACGUUACCCGCAGAAGAAGCACCGGCUAACUCCGUGCCAGCAGCCGCGGUAAUACGGAGGGUGCAAGCGUUAAUCGGAAUUACUGGGCGUAAAGCGCACGCAGGCGGUCUGUCAAGUCGGAUGUGAAAUCCCCGGGCUCAACCUGGGAACUGCAUUCGAAACUGGCAGGCUAAAGUCUUGUAGAGGGGGGUAGAAUUCCAGGUGUAGCGGUGAAAUGCGUAGAGAUCUGGAGGAAUACCGGUGGCGAAGGCGGCCCCCUGGACAAAGACUGACGCUCAGGUGCGAAAGCGUGGGGAGCAAACAGGAUUAGAUACCCCAGUAGUC